rnacentral:rRNA from 1 species
CCUACGGGAGGCAGCAGUGGGGAAUUUUGGACAAUGGGCGCAAGCCUGAUCCAGCAAUGCCGCGUGAGUGAAGAAGGCCUUCGGGUUGUAAAGCUCUUUUGUCAGGGAAGAAACGGCUGAGGCUAAUAUCCUCGGCUAAUGACGGUACCUGAAGAAUAAGCACCGGCUAACUACGUGCCAGCAGCCGCGGUAAUACGUAGGGUGCAAGCGUUAAUCGGAAUUACUGGGCGUAAAGCGUGCGCAGGCGGUUUUGUAAGUCUGUCGUGAAAGCCCCGGGCUUAACCUGGGAAUUGCGAUGGAGACUGCAAGGCUUGAAUCUGGCAGAGGGGGGUAGAAUUCCACGUGUAGCAGUGAAAUGCGUAGAGAUGUGGAGGAACACCGAUGGCGAAGGCAGCCCCCUGGGUCAAGAUUGACGCUCAUGCACGAAAGCGUGGGGAGCAAACAGGAUUAGAUACCCUGGUAGUCCACGCCCUAAACGAAUGUCUACUAGUUGUCGGGUCUUAAUUGACUUGGUAACGCAGCUAACGCGUGAAGUAGACCGCCUGGGGAAGGUACGGUCGCAAGAUUAAAACUUCAAAAGAUUAGUUAGCGNGNGAGAGNGACGACGACGACGACGGAGGAGGAG